AGAAGGUAGUGUUUUGCCACUUUGAGCCAGUGGUGAGCGUGAGCCAUCAUAGAGAGAACGUUGUUGAAGACUUUGUGUCCCUAUGAAUCUUGCCUAGAGAUUGUGAUAUUUAUUAUCCUUGUGUGGCAGAAGUCAGUGACUUGUCCAAGGAAUUCUAAUUCUACCACUGAGAUAUUUGCACAGUGGAUACAUCGAUAAGAAGACAUUUACUACUAAUCCUUUUACAAUGGACCUUCAAAAGGGAUUCGUUAGAAUUUACCAUUUGUAUUAUUUGUUUCACUUUGUAAUAUAUUAGUCAUUUUGUCACUAUAACCUGAGGGUUGGCAACCCUAGUAAAUCUACACCAGAUUCCCAUUA